UACGUAGGGUCCGAGCGUUUGUCCGGAAUUAUUGGGCGUAAAGAGCUCGUAGGCGGUUUGUCGCGUCUGCUGUGAAAUCCCGAGGCUCAACCUCGGGUCUGCAGUGGGUACGGGCAGACUUGAGUACUGCAGGGGAGACUGGAAUUCCUGGUGUAGCGGUGGAAUGCGCAGAUAUCAGGAGGAACACCGGUGGCGAAGGCGGCUCUCUGGGCCUUACCUGACGCUGAGGAGCGAAAGCGUGGGUAGCGAACAGG
rnacentral:rRNA from 1 species